GUUCUUAAGCAUUGGAAUGGGCUGCCCAGGGCAGUGGUUGAGGCACCAUCCCUGAAGGUGUUCAAAAGAUGGGUUGACAUGGUGCUUAGUGACAUGGUUUAGUGAUGCAGGGGGUGGGGUGGGGGGUGGACUAAAUGAUCUUAAAAGUCCCUUCCAACCUGGACAAUUCUAUGAUUCUGUGAUUCUGUUCCCAGGAGCUUGGGACAAAAUUUCCAUCUGGGAAAGAACUUCAAAAAGCAGAACCUCCCCCUUGGGCGCAGCUCUCCAGGACCUUUAGGGGCUGCACCCCAAGAGAAAUAUCCCCCCCCAACCCUGUGCUGCAAACGGUGGGGUGCAGGAGCCGAGGAGCGGGGUCCAUCCUCGAGCCAGCGAGAGCCACCAGCAUCCCAGGACAGACGUGCCAGCACAGACCACACCAACCCGAGCCAUCUGCCAGGAUCCAAAGCACGGCAGAACAGAUGACAAAAAUGAAGAGGAUGUGCCUCCAGAGGAGGAAAGGGAUUUGGGUGGUAAAUCCCAGAAUCAGAAGGCCACGGAAGAGCCUGAAAUCUUCAGAAGGCUGGGCUGAGAAGAACAAUGCACGUGCCUCCAGAGGAGGAAAGGGAUUUGGGUGCUGAAUCCCAGAAUCAGGCGGCCAUGGAAGAGCCUGACAUCCAUCUGACAUGGACUGAGAAGAACAAUGCAAAGACUAGAACAAGUGAGAUGUUUUACAGCUCCAGAAAGCUAAGCAAACCACCUCACAGACUGAGAACAUAAGGAUCGACACCGUCUUAACAAGGAUGACGUUGGGGCUUUGAUAGAUUGCUCCACGAGGAGCAGUAGUCUUAAUGCCAUGAAGAUUUGCCAGAAUAAUAACCAGCGACCUUAGCAAGUAAAACCCAAGUCUCGGAAUCCGAAUGUGUUCAUCAGUAUGCUCCCUGGCACUAAUGGUAACAACUUCCCGGAGCUAGAGCUUGGUAUGAAACAGGAAUCUCCAGCACGAGAUAAAGCAGUAGCUUAUGGACUGAUGUACUACCUUCAGCCACCACCAUGUGCAUCUAAGGGAGAGAAGAGCUGUACCAGACAUUUCUCCACAGCCCACAGAGUGCCCUUGAUACUCACUCACUCCCUUUGGUUCACUGACACCUCGAGAGAGGACAGAAGCACAAUUACCAUGUCUCACUGGAAGAGGACUCAAGACAGACACCAUAUUUGGAUCUCCAUAGCAUUCUUGGUUUUUCAGUGUUUCAGAAACUUGCCUCUGUGGCUCCCUUUUCCUUCUGCAGGACUUCCACCCACAAGUCAGCCUAGAUACUGCAGCUGAAGGAUAACCAGCACUGUGUGGCAAAACCAGCUGGAAGAGCAGGUGGGUCCCAUGUUUCUAGCACAAGGCCAGGAGAACUCUGGCUUCACUUUGGCCCUGUCCCCCAAAGUCAGGGACAGCUGGAGAGAGGGCCCAUAGCUGAGACACGGGAGAAUGGCUGGAGAGCAGCCCUGAGGAGAAAGACUUGGGAGUGCUCGUGGAUAAGAAGGUCGACAGGAGCCAGCAAUGUGUGCUGGCAGCCCAGAGACCCAACCACAUCCUGGGCUGCAUCAAAAGCAGCGUGGCCAGCAGGGCAAGGGAGGUGGUUCUGCCCCUCUGCUCUGCUCUGGUGAGACCCCACCUGGAGUGCUGUGUCCAGCUCUGGGGCCCCCAACAUAAGAAGGACACGGACCUGUUGGAAUGGGUCCAAAGGAGGGGCACAAAGAUGCUCCGAGGGCUGGAGCCCCUCUGCUGUGAGGACAGGCUGAGAGAGCUGGGGUUGUUUCAGCCUGGAGAAGAGAAGGCUCUGGGGAGACCUUAGAGCCCCUUCCAGUCCCUCAAGGGGGCUACAGGAGAGAUGGGGAGGGACUCUUGAUCAGGGAGUAGAGCCAUAGGAUGAGGGAUAAGGGCUUCAAACUGAAAGAGGGGAGAUUUAUAUUAGAUCUGAGGAAGAAAUUAUUUGCUGUGAGGGUGGUGAGAUUCUGGAACAGGUUGCCCAGAGAAGCUGUGGCUGCCCCAUCCCUGGAGGGGUUCAAGGCCAGGCUGGAUGGGGCUUGGAGCAACCUGGUCUGGUGGGAGGUGUCCCUGCCCAUGGCAGGGGGGUUAGAACUGGAUGAUCUUUAAGGUCCCUUCCAACCCAAACCAUUCUAUGAUUCUAUGAUUUCAGCAUCUGAGAGGAGUGCAGCUACUG
rnacentral:lncRNA from 1 species